AAAGUACUCCCUCCGUCCCAAAAUUCUUGUCUUAGAUUUGUCUAGAUACGGAUGUAUCAAGUCACAUUUUAGUAUUAGAUACAUCCGUAUCUAGACAAAUCUAAGACAAGAAAUUUGGGACAGAGGGAGUAGUUU
rfam:Triticum aestivum genome assembly, contig: Triticum_aestivum_CS42_TGACv1_scaffold_031928_1BL